AGCCACGUGGGGGAGGAUGAGAAGAGGUUAAAUAUAGCCAUGGAAAAAACAACCAGCAGACUAGAAAGCACCUUCAGGCUUAACAUCAACAGAGGCUGUCAUUUCCCAGGAUUCCUCAGCCAUGCUCCGGUGAUACCUGUUUGAAAUCGGACUUCAGGCAAGCUGGUUCCUUCUCGUGUGGCUAAGACGAUGUGGAACGAAACUAGAGCCUUAUAUCAUGAUUAGCAAACACCCCUGGUCUGGGGGUCAGUGAAUCUUCGUGGGGAUCUGCAGAAGGUGCAGCUGUUGGAAACUCCCCGGCUGCUUCACAGUCGUGAGGUGAGCUGGCAGAUCUCUUGCUCCCUUUGACUACCAGCUACUACACAUGGUUAUGGAUUGGGACAUGGCUCCAGCCCAGACUCUAAUUGACGUACCUCCUCCUGAUGAUGGCAGAGGCAGAGCCUGGAUCUGGUGCCUGUGGUGAUGGCAGCAUCCUGAUGCGGUGGCUUCUGUCCGAGGUGCUGACUCCCUCAGUGGGCAGACCUGUGCUGGGGGGUCAGUCCUGGAAGUACAGUCCAUUUUCUCCCAAUCUGUGCACUCUCUGUAUCUUGUAACUUGUCCCUUUGGCUUAAAUUGGUGUGUUAGAGUCUGUUAUAGUCUGCUAUAACAGAAUACCACAGACUUAAGGCCAACAGAAAUGUAUUUCUCACAGUUCGGGAGGCUGGACGUCCAAAGUCAGGUUCUGACGAGAAUCCCCUUCCAGCUUGCCGACUGCUGACUUCUGAGUGUGCUCUCGCAUGGUGGUAGGGACAAGGGAGCCCUUUUCGAAGGGCAUCACUCUCAUUCUUGAGGGUUCCACCUCGUGACCUCAUCGCUUCCCAAAGGCACCCCCACCUUCUGAUACCAUCGCAUUGGGGGUUAGAAAAUUCUAAAAUUCUAAAAAUUCAACACGUGAGUUUGGGCGGUGAGGGGGAGACACAAACAUUUAAACCGUAGCAAGUAUCUAGAGUAACUUCUGCUGUGUUAGUCUAACCUGGCCAAUGUGCCUUGUAUGCCUAUAGGUAUCGUGAUUCUACUGCAAGACAUGUGAGUUUGAAAGGGAACAGAUUUCUAAUUUGGAAACUCGUUUUCCUCAAAAACUAGAAAGCCUUUCUCCAUUGCCUCUGGCUUUCAGUGUGGUUGCUGAGAAUUCUGAAGCCGUUCUUUUUCCUGGGUCUGUAUGUGAUUUACUUCUCUGCAAAUCUUUUUUUGUUUUGUAUCAAAGUAGUAUUUACUCUUAGUUUUUUUGUUUUUUAUGCUGUCAAGUCUAUAAAUGGUCAUAUUUUAAAGAUUCAGAAAGUUCUGUGUGUUGUCUUAUGAAAAAACAGCUGUUUUCUGACUUUGUCCCCCCCCCCAUCCCAUUUCCUUACUGUUAGAAGCAACCACUUUCACUGCUAGUGUAUGUGAAUAUAUAAUUAACGCAUUUUUAGCACACAUGAAGGGGAUCCUGGGAAGUCUUUCAAAAUUCUCACAUUUGGCUUUCUACAUCAAAGUGGAUAACUUCCUUGUACCUAAACAGACUUUGGGGUGUAGGCGUUAGAGACCCUGUAAUAGCAGUUGGUGAGUUUUUCUUCCCCUUUCACUUAUUUGGUGGUAGGAUCUGAACCUAGGCUGAGAUCUGAAAAUGGAAGGAGGCUCUUCUUCCAGGGGAUGACAAGUAAGAGAUCUGGUGAAUUGGGGUCCCUAAAGUUCCUGGCACCAGCACCUGGGAUACGACUCCUGACAUGGGGAAAAGGCUGGGGAGUGAAAUCUAGAGAGCUGGAGUAGGAAGCUGCAGAAAAGUGAUAUAUGGAGCUUCUGAACUGAGCUGAGCCCUAAGAGAUUGGAAUCUGCCCCCCCAUGGAACCUAUAAAAACCACUGUACCCCGGGCAGGGGAGUGUACAGGCGGAGGCUAGCCUCAGGCGGUCACUUUGGACCCUACUUAAGCACCUGGAGAAACAGCAGCAUCAGACAGAGGAAGCCAGUCUAGGCUGUCUGGGCCUCAGCUACAACUUUGUAUACCUUCGGUGUGCUUACUUGUUCCAUGACAACCAGCUGCAGAAACUCUUACCAAUUUCUUUGGCUUCACGGGAGUACAUUUGGUUUCUGGAGCAGCAAAGCAGUGAGAUAAGAACAACCAGGAUUCCUUCCUGAGACUCAUUAGAAUCCUGGAAUUUCUACAUGGAUGGAGGGGACAAGGGAUUCCAAGAGAUAAACUGAUUUCCUGCUAAAAUGGUUAUUGAGCGUGGCAUCAGGGACCCCCGGGACAAGGCUGGCUGCUAUUCAGGAGUCUAUGAAGGGUGCCUGGGGGGCUCAGUUGGAGGAACCUGUGGCUCUUAAUCUCAGGGUCGUGAGUGUGAGCCCCACGUGCGACGUAGAGAUUACUUAAAUAAACAAAACUGAAAAAAGGAACAAUCUGAAAUAAGACAUAUUGGUUACACAUAUUAUGAUUUACUUACCCUGUCUCUCAACUUCUCUGGACACUAGCAACUCUGGCUAGCUGUUGUUAUGGACAGAAUGUUUGUGUCCUUCCCCACUCCACCCCAAAUUUCUAUGUUGAAAUCUGGACCCUCCCCCCCUGCCCUCCACCCCCACCCCAUGUGAUGGUGUUAGGAGGCAGGGCCUCUGGGAGGUGAUUAGGUCACAAAAUUGGAACUUUUGACACUAAUGAAUGCGAUUAGUUUCUUUAUGAAAGAGACCUCAGACAACUCUUGCCCCUUGUGCCAUGUGAGGACACAGUGAAGAGAUGAUCAUGUUUGAAUCAGGAAGCAGGAUCUAACCACACACCAAGUCUGUGGGCACCUUGAUCUUGGACUUCUCAGCCUCUGGAACUCUGAGAAAUAAAUGAUGUUUAAGCCAUUCAGUCUACAGUAUUUUUACGACAGCAGCCUGAAUGGACUAAGAUACCUGUACUUUCUUCCUUCCUACCUUCCUCCCUCCCUCCUUCCUACCUUUUUUCCUUC